AAAUAUUUAAAGUAUAUAACACAAGCCUAUUAUUAAAAUCUUCUGUAAAUAUGAAGAAAGUGAUACUUAACAAGCUUUUCUCUUAUGGUUUCAACGAAACAUACACGUGUGGGUACAAGUAGGUAUGUGUAGAAAACGGUGGUGGUUGCUAACGGGGUGGCCUAGCCUUUUUCCCUUCCUCUUUUUUUCUGUCUGUACAGUGAAGCGGUCGCGCACCAGGGAGAACAACACCACGCCGGAAGGGUACCAACCCUGAAGGGCUACCAAUCGUGACCGACGCGAUGAAGUGCGUAGAACGCUGAAGAACGGCCUCUCGGAAGAGGAGAAGAAGCACAUCGCCACCUACAUCAAGGGCUACUGACUGUGAUAAAACUCGAACCCUGUAGCUCGUCCACGAGAAGGAAGGAGGGAAGAUUAAUAAGCAGGAAUCAUCGAAUCAUCGAUCGGAUGUUGAUCACACGGCCAGGGCAUCGCGAUUUUACGGAGGCCAACGAACACGACCAAUUCAGAGAGGAAGCACACCCUCCAGGGAGUGAAUCGCGUACACCAAGGUUAUACGUUUAAAAAAUUAGAUACUACGUAUACAUAUAUAGAUAUAUAUAUAUACAUAUACAUACACGCAUAUACAUAUAUUUCGAUCGAACUUUCUGUACGCUGGCAGAAAGCAGUUGUUUCUAUCGAAACUUGGAGGCCUUCUAUUUUUCGACGUUUAUCAUAUCGAUAUCCCUGUCGUUCGUAUUUUUCUCACCUCGUCGAAAAAUCUAAUAUAAUAUACCGGCUUAAUACUUUUGAAUCUUUGAUUAAAUGAUUAUUGCAAAUCUAAAUUGGAUUCGAAAUAUUGGUAAUUAUAAACGAUUAUUCCGUAGAAGAUUAAGACAAGUCAAUGUAUAUCUAAUUUUAUAUUGUUUCUUUAUUUAUAAGAAACAAUAUUUUCAUCUCUAAAAAUUAUUUGAAACGAAACAUGAAUAAUGAGAAUAGUAAGUAUAUUUAUAAGUAUAUUUGAAAUUAAAUUAUAUUUGAUAAAAUAAAAAUAGUAAAGAAUUUUGAAAAUGCAAAAAUGAAUAUAUUGACUUUAAUAUAAAAUGACGGCCUAAAAUAGCUUUUGAGAAUAUAGAUGGAAUAGAUCUAGAUACUAAAUUAUAUUUGAUAAAAUAAAAAUA